GCCGAAGACCGACCAUUUCAUCGGCUCGCGGCCGAUGAAGAGAUUGCGGGCAAUCGACAUGGUCGGAACCAUGGAAUUGUACUGAUAGAUCGUCUCCAGCCCGUAGCGCAUCGCAUCCUU
rnacentral:sRNA from 1 species